rnacentral:rRNA from 1 species
GACGAACGCUGGCGGCGUGCUUAACACAUGCAAGUCGAACGAUGAAGCCGGAGCUUGCUCUGGUGAAUUAGUGGCGAACGGGUGAGUAACACGUGAGUAACCUGCCCUUGACUCUGGGAUAACUGCGGGAAACUGUAGCUAAUACCGGAUACGACCCUCGGAGGCAUCUCCUGGGGGUGGAAAGAAUUUCGGUCAAGGAUGGACUCGCGGCCUAUCAGCUAGUUGGUGAGGUAAAGGCUCACCAAGGCGACGACGGGUAGCCGGCCUGAGAGGGUGACCGGCCACACUGGGAAUGAGACACGGCCCAGACUCCUGCGGGAGGCAGCAGUGGGGGAUAUUGUACAAUGGGCGCAAGCCUGAUGCAGCAACGCCGCGUGAGGGAUGACGGCCUUCGGGUUGUAAACCUCUUUUAGCAGGGAAGAAGCGAAAGUGACGGUACCUGCAGAAAAAGCACCGGCUAACUACGUGCCAGCCGCCGCCGUAA